CGUUAGCGGCGGACGGGUGAGUAACACGUGGGUAACCUACCUAUAAGACUGGGAUAACUUCGGGAAACCGGAGCUAAUACCGGAUAAUAUUUCGAACCGCAUGGUUCGAUAGUGAAAGAUGGUUUUGCUAUCACUUAUAGAUGGACCCGCGCCGUAUUAGCUAGUUGGUAAGGUAACGGCUUACCAAGGCGACGAUACGUAGCCGACCUGAGAGGGUGAUCGGCCACACUGUAACUGAGACACGGUCCAGACUCCUACGGGAGGCAGCAGCG
rnacentral:rRNA from 1 species